GACGAACGCUGGCGGCGUGCCUAAUACAUGCAAGUCGAGCGGACUGAUUAAGAGCUUGCUCUUAUGACGUUAGCGGCGGACGGGUGAGUAACACGUGGGCAACCUGCCCUGUAGAUCGGGAUAACACCGAGAAAUCGGUGCUAAUACCGGGUAAUAUCUGAGAUCACAUGAUCUUAGGUUAAAAGAUGGCUCCGGCUAUCACUACAGGAUGGGCCCGCGGCGCAUUAGCUAGUUGGUAAGGUAAUGGCUUACCAAGGCGACGAUGCGUAGCCGACCUGAGAGGGUGAUCGGCCACACUGGGACUGAGACACGGCCCAGACUCCUACGGGAGGCAGCAGUAGGGAAUCUUCCGCAAUGGACGAAAGUCUGACGGAGCGACGCCGCGUGAGUGAUGAAGGGUUUCGGCUCGUAAAGCUCUGUUGUUAGGGAAGAAACAGUACCGAACGAACUAGGUCGGUACCUUGACGGUACCUAACCAGAAAGCCACGGCUAACUACGUG
rnacentral:rRNA from 1 species